rnacentral:lncRNA from 10 species
CGCGUGCGCGUCUCUGAAACGGGGACUUGGGAGCGCGCGCUGCCCCUCACUUGGCUGCAACUGGACCCAGAACUAGGGAAGAGGCCAGGGACAGAUUUUUUUUUUUUAUUUUUAUUUUUUUUGCCGAGGGACGUUUCAAAAUUUUGCACGGCCAGGGUGACAAAAAGAGGAUUUAAGAGCCACAAGCGGUCCGCACAUGACCCAGACUUCGUUCCUGUGCGGCUUCCAGAGGUGUUCAUGCAGAAGACUGGAUGCAGGACCCUUGGUGGCACCAGUGUGCAGAUGAGCAGAUAGUGACUGAUUGCCACUGGGGUAAGUUGGAAAUUACCACUCACUUCUCUGGAUUCAUGUCUCAAAUAAAACAAAUUACUAAGCCACUGAGAAAGAGGCAACAACCCCUCCAACAUUAAGGGCCAGAAAAAGGUCCUCUGCUUAUAUGAAAGUGAUAACAUAAAAGGUAGGAAAACCUUCUUUCUCCAGGACCCAGAAAAAGACCCAUUCCUUCUGGGAGAAGGGUAGAAUUAAAAUAUCUCUACCUCUUGGAAAUUUGAAAGAAAACUUUUGGGCCCAGGUUCCUGGACUGAUACAAAGCAGAGGUCUGCUACAACUGGAGUAUGGGCAGGAUCCAGGGGGAAAAGGGGAGCAGGAAUGCUGAAAAGCCAAAGCUUCAAGGCCCGGGUGUAUAGGAUCUGCCUAAGACUGAGACUGGGUCAUUAGAGCCAAGAAUCUCAUCUUCUCUCCAAGAGCUUCAAACUGAGUAACCAGCAAUAAUAGUCUACCAACUGGGACCAGGACAAAGGAUGAUGAAAUUUUUAAAAAAGAACCUUGAAGUCUGUGAGUGACCAAUCAAAGAUGAAAAUUAAUAAUGGAAGACCUGGGAUAUACAAUCAAGUCUAAAGCCUAGAUAUCUGGUUAUUUUAGAAAAGCUUCAUAGGCAAGUGUCAGUGGAGCUGUGUUAUUUGAGCUGAGCUGCACCUUGAAGAACCAAAAAAAUUAUAAAUGGACAAAUAAGACCAAGUGCCUACACCAAAAGAAUUCUAAUGCUUAGAAGAGUUGCAGAAUAAAAUAUGUUGCAUGGGAUGUCAAUAGUAAAGGUCAAGAUAGAGGACAAAGAAACACAGAGGAAGGAGGUUAAUGGAAUGAGAGAAGAAAGUAUUUUUAGAGGAAGUUGAUAUUUCACCUGAGUUGUAAAAGACUAGACCAAGCAGUAAAAACUGAAUUUUAAUUAUCUACUGGAAAUUCCUCCAGAAUAAAGGGUCUGGUUCAGUUUCUAUAUUGACUCUAUGGGUUCCAGUCUGUGAAAUGCCAAGGGUUGGACUGACUAGAAGUCUCCAGAUUACCUCUCUCUUCUUUCCACCCCUACUGCUUCUUGCCUACCAUAUGCCAUAGUGCCGGCCGGCAAAAUGUACCUGUUUAAUUCUCUAGGCUAUAACAAAAUAUAAUAAACUGGGUACCUUAGAAGCAACGGAAAUUGAUUUCUCAUCGUUCUAGAAGCUAGGAAGUUCACGAUCAAGGUAGCAGCAGAGUUGGUGCCUGCUCUGGAGGCUGGAAAUCCAACAACAGAGUGCCAGCAUGAUCAGGUUCUGGAGAGGACCCUCUUCCUGUUUGCAGACUGCUGACUUCUUAUUGUAUAUUCCAAUGGUAGAAAGAGAGCAAGAGAACUCUCUGGAGUCUUUUUUUUAUAAGGGUGCUAACCCCAUUUAAGGAGGUUUCCCCUCAUAAUCUAAUUAUCUCUCAAAAGCCAUACCUUUCAACACCAUUGCAUUGAAGGUAUGCUCACUCUUUCACUAACCUUGAGAGACAUUGUCAGAUGUGCAUAAGGGAAGAACAUGAAGGACGACGGAUAAACUGUACACAGACACAGCACAUGGAGUCUGAGUCAUUUGUUUUCUCUGACAGAUCUUUACCAUGCUGGAUUGGAAGAGAAAAGACCAUCACUAAAGCAAAUGGAUCAAAUGGAGUUAUAAAUCAACUCUGUACUCUACAGGAUUGACUCAACUGCAGACAUCUCCAAUACACUCCCUCAUGGCUUUAUUUUUUCUGCUUAUGUGGAAAAAUAACAGUAAAUACAGUUAACUAUCCCAAGACAGAAGAGUAUUAUUAAAAAAGAAUACAACGUUAUUGAUUUUUCAAGACAUAAUCAGAUAUUUUUAAACUCUGAUUUAAUAAAACAUAAUGUAAUUUCUUUUGUGGGAUUUUUUAUGCUUUCCCAAUGUUUAUUACCCUGUGUGUUUCACACUUCAAAAUGAGAGUAUCGUAAUAAGAUCACUUGAGAGGAUCCUGAUCUAAGUUACAAAAUCCCCAUGGCCUUUAUAUCCACAUUGUCACAUUCCCCCAGUCAUCUCUUUCUACUUUAUUGUAUCUAUUACACUUUACACUUAUUUAUGUUUUUCUAUUUACUUUAUAUAUACAAUAUCAUGGGGUACAUAGUGUAAGAGGAAGGAUGGCACUAGCAAGUAUUCCUAAGUUGGUUUAGGGAAUGGGAAUAAGGGUA